UACGGCGAGUGAAGCAGCAAUAGCUCAAAUUUGAAAUCUGGCGUCUUCGACGUCCGAGUUGUAAUUUGUAGAGGAUGCUUCUGAGUAACCACCGACCUAAGUUCCUUGGAACAGGACGUCAUAGAGGGUGAGAAUCCCGUAUGCGGUCGGAAAGGUGCUCUAUACGUAGCUCCUUCGACGAGUCGAGUUGUUUGGGAAUGCAGCUCUAAAUGGGAGGUAAAUUUCUUCUAAAGCUAAAUAUUGGCCAGAGACCGAUAGCGCACAAGUAGAGUGAUCGAAAGAUGAAAAGCACUUUGGAAAGAGAGUUAAAAAGCACGUGAAAUUGUUAAAAGGGAAGGGAUUGCAACCAGACUUGCUCGCGGUGUUCCGCCGGUCUUCUGACCGGUCUACUCGCCGCGUUGCAGGCCAGCAUCGUCUGGUGCCGCUGGAUAAGACUUGAGGAAUGUAGCUCCCUCGGGAGUGUUAUAGCCUCUUGUGAUGCAGCGAGCGCCGGGCGAGGUCCGCGCUUCGGCUAGGAUGCUGGCGUAAUGGUCGUAAUCCGCCCGU
rnacentral:rRNA from 1 species